AGAUGCAGGCACAUUGUGUUACAAGUGGUGCAGCUAGUGAAACCUCUCUGAAGGAAACCUACGGAGACCUGUCUAGCUGGGGGGAUUGUUAACUCAUCGAAGGACGGAUUGCAAAGCCCUUGCUGAAGGAGGCUUUCUGGCCAGCGCUUGUCACUGGGGGACUGAACUGCACUGCAGCUUCUGCAUUUCAGGAAUGUGACUCCUGUCCUUGACCUCGUCUGCAGAUAAAUACAACAUGCCCCUUACUGCUGAGUGCUUUGGGAAGAAUUUCAGCCAGACAAGAGAGGGAAGAUAAAGGAAAAGACAGAAUGGCUGUUGGGUGUCAUCAGAUCAUGUGAAAAGACAGCUGAGUGCAAUUUUUCCAGC